rnacentral:rRNA from 1 species
AUUGAACGCUGGCGGCAGGCCUAACACAUGCAAGUCGAGCGGAUGAAGGGAGCUUGCUCCUGGAUUCAGCGGCGGACGGGUGAGUAAUGCCUAGGAAUCUGCCUGGUAGUGGGGGAUAACGUCCGGAAACGGGCGCUAAUACCGCAUACGUCCUGAGGGAGAAAGUGGGGGAUCUUCGGACCUCACGCUAUCAGAUGAGCCUAGGUCGGAUUAGCUAGUUGGUGGGGUAAAGGCCUACCAAGGCGACGAUCCGUAACUGGUCUGAGAGGAUGAUCAGUCACACUGGAACUUAGACACGGUCCAGACUCCUACGGGAGGCAGCAGUGGGGAAUAUUGGACAAUGGGCGAAAGCCUGAUCCAGCCAUGCCGCGUGUGUGAAGAAGGUCUUCGGAUUGUAAAGCACUUUAAGUUGGGAGGAAGGGCAGUAAGUUAACACCUUGCUGUUUUGACGUUACCAACAGAAUAAGCACCGGCUAACUUCGUG